CGCACUCCCCUGCAGCGGUUCCAUCCUCACGAGGAGAGAGAGAGAGAGAGAUGGGUGUUGGACUUCGACUGUGGUUGUGCUUGUUGUUCUGCUUUGCGAUACUCUCUUCUGCCAGAAACACCAUUUCUCUCUCAGAGGACAAGGUAGCGAUGGUGGUGGAAGCCAUGGAAGGAAGGUCUCUGACAAUGAAUCUUAACGACUACAAUGAAGCGUCAGCAAAUUCCCAGCACAAUCCCAAAACCAAAGGUGGUGGUGGUGGUGGUAGGAAAACCCUUGAUUAACCCUAAUCCAUUACACCGUCUCGGUGUAAUCAGUAUCAGGCUGUCUACUACACUCGGCAAUACAAUCCAUUUUACUGCUUUAUAUUAUAUAUAUGGUUAGAUAAAUGUAUAUGCAUUUGGUGAUGUAUCAUCUGUAUGGGAGAAUGGGAUAUAUCAUAUGUGGGAGAGCAAGGCUAAUAUAUAUAUAUAUUACUUGUAGCUCCAUAUAUUCUAAGCCAUUUGUUUUUUAUUUUUAUUUUUGAUGGUGUACUGAUAUCGAUCAAUGUGUGCUACGCACAAUUUGAGGAAUGUAAUCUUUGUUUUGUGGUUAUUAAUUAAUCACUUUGUUA